rnacentral:SRP_RNA from 10 species
GCUGGGCAUGGUGGCGCGUGCUUGUAAUCCCAGCUACUUGGGAGGCUGAGGCAGAAGAAUUGCUUGAACUGGGUCCCGGGAAGCGGAAGUUGCAGUGAAUCGAGAUUGUGCCACUGUACUCCAGCCUGGGCAACAAGAGUGAGAUUCUGUCUUUUUUUUUUUUUUUUUCUGAGACGGAGUCUUGCUCUGUGGCCCAGGAUGGAGUACAAUGGCACGAUCUCGGCUCACUGCAACCUCCGCCUCCCAGGUUCAAGCAAUUCUCCUGU